CUGAAAAAUAGCUGAGUCAUUAGGUUGGCACUGUCGCUGCACAUAUAACACUGACUACUGACCAGCUACACAAGAUCUGACACAAGACUGACUGGUGAAGAAAACACUGUAGUGGAGCCAUGCUGUGACUGAUAUGCUCUGCGCUGCACAAUGUGGCUGCCUGGGUCGUGUCUUGCUGUUGCUCCUCAGCAAAGGACGGGACAUCAUCAGGAGAGACAUACAAGUGUAAAGGAAAGCAAGUGUGGACAGUGUCUGAUGAUGCAGCAACAUCCAGUCAAAAGCCUUCCUAAUUCCUCUCAGCAGUGCGGAGAGGAACGACAGCCACAUUUUCUCCACCCGGACACCCUGCAAAGUGUUUAAUCUCCGCUCUGGUCUGACUCUGUGUUGCUCUGUGCUUGUUAUAAUGAUGACUUAUCUAAAAACUCCUGUUUGGGAAGCUGGAUAGUGUCUGACAGCUGACAAAUACAGCAGCAUCAGUCAGGUCAUCAUGUCACAUCAUGACUUUAACCAAUAAAGAGUUGUGCAGGA